CCUACGGGAGGCAGCAGUGAGGAAUAUUGGUCAAUGGACGAGAGUCUGAACCAGCCAAGUAGCGUGAAGGAUGACUGCCCUAUUGGUUGUAAACUUCUUUUAUAUUGGAAUCAAAUGUUCCACGUGUGGGAUUUUGUAUGUACCAUAUGAAUAAGGAUCGGCUAACGCCGUUCCAUCAGCAGCGGUAAUACGGCGGAUCCGAGCGUUAUACGGAUUUAUUGGGUUUAAAGGGAGCGUAGGUGGAUUGUUAAGUCAGUUGUGAAAGUUUGCGGCUCAACCGUAAAAUUGCAGUUGAAACUGGCAGUCGUGAGUACAGUAGAGGUGGGCGGAAUUCGUGGUGUAGCGGUGAAAUGCUUAGAUAUCACGAAGAACUCCGAUUGCGAAGGCAGCUCACUGGACUGCAACUGACACUGAGGCUCGAAAGUGUGGGUAUCAAACAGGAUUAGAUACCCCAGUAGUC
rnacentral:rRNA from 1 species